GGAAGGACUGUAGAUGAGUGGUGAAACAUCUGCUUAGCAGGCAGAAGGUCCCAGGUUCAAUCCCCGGUGUCUCCA